AUUGAGUCAUUACAGAAGGACUUGGAUAGCAGACAGGCUUGGGCAGAGUUGUGGCAGAUGAAAUUUAAUGUCAGUAAAUGUAAAGAAUUACACAUAGGAAGUAAAAAUGUGAGGUUUGAAUACACAAUGGGCGGUCGGAAAAAUCGAGAGUCCACCUUAUGAGAAGGAUUUAGGAGUCAUAGUGGACUCUAAGCUAUCGACUACCAGACAGUGUUCAGAAGCCAUUAAGAAGGCUAACAGAAUGUCAGGUUAUAUAGCACCUUGAUGUGUGGAGUACAAGUCACAGGAGGUUCUGCUCAACCUUUAUAACACACUGGUGAGGCCUCAUCUGGAGUCCUGUGUGCAGUUUGGGUCUCCAGGCUACAAAAAGGACAUAGCAGCACUAGAAAAGGUCCAGAGAAGAGCGACUAGGCUGAUUCCAGGGCUACAGGGGAUGAGUUAUGAGGAAAGAUUAAAAGAGCUGAGCCUUUACA